rnacentral:rRNA from 1 species
UACGAAGGGUGCUAGCGUUGUUCGGAAUCACUGGGCGUAAAGCGUGCGUAGGCGGCUUUGUAAGUCAGAGGUGAAAGCCUGGAGCUCAACUCCAGAACUGCCUUUGAGACUGCAUCGCUAGAAUCAUGGAGAGGUUAGUGGAAUUCCGAGUGUAGAGGUGAAAUUCGUAGAUAUUCGGAAGAACACCAGUGGCGAAGGCGACUAACUGGACAUGUAUUGACGCUGAGGUGCGAAAGCGUGGGGAGCAAACAGG